rnacentral:tRNA from 1 species
GCUCCCAUGGCGUAGUGGUCACUGCGCUCGCCUUGCACGCGGGAGACCCGGGUUCGAUUCCCGGCGAAAACG